rnacentral:rRNA from 1 species
ACAUGAAGCUGGAAUCGCUAGUAAUCGCGAAUCAGAAUGUCGCGGUGAAUACGUUCCCGGGUCUUGUACACACCGCCCGUCACACCAUGAGAGUUGGCAAUACCCAACGUACGUGAUCUAACCCGCAAGGGAGGAAGCGUCCUAAGGUAGGGUCAGCGAUUGGGGUGAAGUCGUAACAAGGUAAC